rnacentral:rRNA from 1 species
UACGUAGGGUGCGAGCGUUGUCCGGAUUUAUUGGGCGUAAAGAGCUCGUAGGCGGUUUGUCGCGUCGGCCGUGAAAUCUCCACGCUUAACGUGGAGCGUGCGGUCGAUACGGGCAGGCUGAGUUCGGUAGGGGAGACUGGAAUUCCUGGUGUAGCGGUGAAAUGCGCAGAUAUCAGGAGGAACACCGGUGGCGAAGGCGGGUCUCUGGGCCGAUACUGACGCUGAGGAGCGAAAGCGUGGGGAGCGAACAGG